AUUGAACGCUGGCGGCAGGCCUAACACAUGCAAGUCGAACGAGUGGCGGACGGGUGAGUAAUGUCUGGGAAACUGCCCGAUGGAGGGGGAUAACUACUGGAAACGGUAGCUAAUACCGCAUACCAUCGGAUGUGCCCCGAUGGGAUUAGCUUGUAGGUGAGGUAACGGCUAACCUAGGCGACGAUCCCUAGCUGGGCUGGGAGGCUGACCAGCCACACGGGAACUGAUAAACGGUCCAGACUCCUACGGGAAGCAGCAUUGGGGAAUAUUGCACAAUGGGCGCAAGCCUGAUGCAGCCAUGCCGCGUGUAUGAAGAAGGCCUUCGGGUUGUAAAGUACUUUCAGCGGGGAGGCGUUACCCGCAGAAGAAGCACCGGCUAACUCCGUGCCAGCAGCCGCGGUAAUUC
rnacentral:rRNA from 1 species